GGGGCGGUGAGAGCCUGGCUAGGCAGGCUGGAAACAGUAGCUCUUAACGGUCCCCCGCCCGUUGGUGGCAAGGCGGCUGGACUGGAAUCCCAGCAGGCGACAUGCGAGGAGGCGGGCAGCCCAGGAGGGUUGGACACGGCAAUGUGGACCUCGCCGCUUCCACAACGAUGCUGGCUACUGAUCGCGUGCACUUCCUUGCCAAAGAAAAGAAAUUAAUGUUAUGACUGGAUGAAGACAAUUGUGAAGAAACUGCACUUUGAGGUUGUCUAUCUCUGUAUUCUGAUGGAAAAGCGUGGAGUUUAGAAGCACUGCUCACUCCUUCAGUUUCUAACAAAUGUCUUCUGUACCCAGACUUCCCUGAGGGUAUGCUUUUUUGAUAUCAUUCCAGCAUCUGCACCGUGUUUUAUAUUUCGGACUAUGCUGCAUUUCAUCACAAUAAAUUCCUCUAGCUGUUUGGGGUGACAUAAACUACUGAAAGAGUGACUCCAGAAAGUGCUGCCAUCAAUAUCUGCAACUUGUAGGGUGUUUGGAUCAAUGAGGUGAAUGGCACUGGUUAUUCGAAUACACACACAAAUCUGGUUCAUAUUUCCCAGGCUUUGUGUCAGUUUUGGAGACAGACAGACAACAUAAUCCUGGCAUAUUGGAACAAUUUCCACAGAAAAAGUGCUUUUGUAAUUGUAUGUAUUACUAUGGACAUCCUGAGAGAUCAGUCUUUGGGAUGCGUUGUAUCUACAGGGAACUGUAUACUGAAUAAAUUCGACCAUCUUCUGAGCAUGUGGUUUUGAGGAAUAAUAAAAAUCCAGACCAUCAUGAAUCUCUUUGAUACGAAGUGUAUUCUGAUGCCUUCCAUAUUUCAGAAUUAACUGUUCCAGAUAGUAGAAAGCUUUUUUGUGCAAAGUCUUUUGCCUCACUUGAAUCACAGCCCUCCAGAAACCCUUAGCUUCUACUCUAUGGCAAUCUCCACAUAUUUGGGACUGAACAGCAUAAUCCACCACAAACACUUGUUGAAGGACAGCACCAUUCAUCACCUCUUUCUGGAGUCAGUUUAACUUUAAAUCUCUUAGAAUGGGGCUCAGUCCAAACAAAGCCUGCAUUCACAAGCCGUUCCUUACUCAGAGGGGCUUUGAACACAAAGCAAGAAGUUCCCUGGAUUCUAAAGCACACCGUAUCCAAGUUCCUGGUGGCUGAAAAUACCUUUGACAUUGUUUGUAGAACAAAAGUGAGACUUGUUUUGGAAUAUCUUGGCUGAUGCCCA
ensembl:lncRNA LINC02848 long intergenic non-protein coding RNA 2848